UGGGGAAUAUUGGACAAUGGGGGCAACCCUGAUCCAGCAAUACCGCGUGUGUGAAGAAGGCCUUCGGGUUGUAAAGCACUUUAGGCAGAGAAGAAGGCAUGUAGUUUAAGAGAUGACAUGUUUGACUGUAUCUGCAGAAUAAGCACCGGCUAACUCUGUGCCAGCAGCCGCGGUAAUACAGAGGGUGCAAGCGUUAAUCGGAUUUACUGGGCGUAAAGGGCGCGUAGGUGGUUGCGUAAGUGAGAUGUGAAAUCCCCGGGCUUAACCUGGGACGUGCAUCUUAGACUGCGUAACUUGAGUGUAGUAGAGGGUAGUGGAAUUUCCGGUGUAGCGGUGAAAUGCGUAGAUAUCGGAAGGAACACCAGUGGCGAAGGCGGCUACCUGGACUAACACUGACACUGAGGCGCGAGAGCGUGGGGAGCAAACAGG
rnacentral:rRNA from 1 species